rnacentral:rRNA from 1 species
CAUAACUAUAAACUUUGAUAAAAAUUUACAUCUUACAUCCGCCAGGGAACUACAAGCGUAAGCUUAAAACCCAAAGGACUUGGCGGUGCCUCAGACCCACCUAGAGGAGCCUGUUCUAGAACCGAUAACCCCCGCUUAACCUCACCGCCCCUUGUUUUUCCCGCCUAUAUACCACCGUCGCCAGCUUACCCUGUGAAGGCCACAUAGUAAGCAAAAUGGGCACAACCCAAAACGUCAGGUCGAGGUGUAGCGAAUGGGGCGGGAAGAAAUGGGCUACAUUCUCUAAUAGAGAAAACGAACUACGCUGUGAAACCAGCGUCUGAAGGUGGAUUUAGCAGUAGAUAGAAAAUAGAGUGUUCUAUCAAAAUAGGCUCUGAAGCACGCAC